rnacentral:rRNA from 1 species
UACGUAGGGUGCGAGCGUUGUCCGGAAUUAUUGGGCGUAAAGAGCUUGUAGGUGGCUCGUUGCGUCGGGAGUGAAAACCUGCGGCUUAACCGCAGGCCUGCUUCCGAUACGGGCGAGCUAGAGUUCGGCAGGGGAGACUGGAAUUCCUGGUGUAGCGGUGGAAUGCGCAGAUAUCAGGAGGAACACCGGUGGCGAAGGCGGAUCUCUGGGCCGAUACUGACACUGAGAAGCGAAAGCGUGGGGAGCGAACAGG